GACGAACGCUGGCGGCGUGCCUAAUACAUGCAAGUCGAGCGGAAGUUGAAGAGCUUGCUCUUCAACUUUAGCGGCGGACGGGUGAGUAACACGUGGGCAACCUGCCCUGCAGAUCGGGAUAACUCCGGGAAACCGGUGCUAAUACCGAAUAGUUUUCGCCACCUCCUGGUGGCGUACGGAAAGACGGUUUCGGCUGUCACUGCAGGAUGGGCCCGCGGCGCAUUAGCUAGUUGGUGGGGUAACGGCCCACCAAGGCGACGAUGCGUAGCCGACCUGAGAGGGUGAUCGGCCACACUGGGACUGAGACACGGCCCAGACUCCUACGGGUGGCAGCAGUAGGGAAUCUUCCGCAAUGGACGAAAGUCUGACGGAGCAACGCCGCGUGAGUGACGAAGGUUUUCGGAUCGUAAAACUCUGUUGUGAGGGAAGAACAAGUACCAACUAACUACUGGUACCUUGACGGUACCUCACCAGAAAGCCACGGCUAACUACGUGCCAGCAGCCGCCGUAAAAC
rnacentral:rRNA from 1 species